rnacentral:rRNA from 1 species
CAAUACAGAUUGUGGGCGCGUGGCGAACGGGUGCGUAACACGUGGAUAACCUUCCUUCAGGUGGGGAAUAACCCAGUGAAAAUUGGGCUAAUACCGCAUAACAUGACGAUGGCUCAUGCCGUUGUCUUCAAAGGCGCAAGUCGCCAGAAGAGGGAUCCGCGGCCGAUUAGCUAGUUGGCGAGGUAAUGGCUCACCAAGGCUUUGAUCGGUAGCCGGACUGAGAGGAUGAUCAGCCUCACUGGGACUGAGACACGGCCCAGACUCCUACGGGAGGCAGCAGUGGGGAAUAUUGGACAAUGGGCGCAAGCCUGAUCCAGCCAUGCCGCGUGAAUGAUGAAGGCCUUCGGGUUGUAAAGUUCUUUUGCAGGGGACGAUGAUGACGGUACCCUGAGAAUAAGCUCCGGCUAACUUCGUGCCAGCAGCCGCGGUAAUACGAAGGGAGCUA